UGGAGAGUUUAUACCAGAACUUUCAAAAUGGAUUUUCUUUUCUUUUCCUGGCUCUGUAUAGUUGUGGGAAGAUGACACCAAGGCAUUAUGGAUUUUGGAUAUUGAAAGGGCAAUCUACCAUUGAAUGUGUGGCUUUGGAGAGCAAGAUCUGAGAGUCUGACUUUUACAGAUGAAUCAAAGACUCUGUUGUCUUCUGGCCUCCAGUGAAGUUCACCCAAUAAGAAGAAAUGAAAAGAGAUCAGAGACUGAGCAAGGGCGGUGGGAGGAUGCCAAGUCAGGAGGAGAGCCCUGCCUGAGACUGAAUCAGCUGGAAACAUGAUCUUGGACUUCUGGCUUCCAAAACUUUUUAUUGCAGAUAUGUUACUGCAUCAGAAGAAUCAGACAUUUUAUUCAAAGCAAACAUCUGGGACUAUAUAAAUUCUAGGGUUAGGAAGAGUAAGACUUGCCAGACAAUAAUGACAAAUACAGGAGAAAAAAACAGACUGAAAGGAAAUUUGCUUCUGUGUUCGAAUGGAGAAAGAACAAAAGCCCUAAUGAGGACACUUGAGACAUGAUUACCAUGAAUGAAAG